AUGAACGCUGGCGGCGUGCCUAAUACAUGCAAGUCGAGCGAACGGACGAGAAGCUUGCUUCUCUGAUGUUAGCGGCGGACGGGUGAGUAACACGUGGAUAACCUACCUAUAAGACUGGGAUAACUUCGGGAAACCGUAGCUAAUACCGGAUAAUAUUUUGAACCGCAUGGUUCAAAAGUGAAAGACGGUCUUGCUGUCACUUAUAGAUGGAUCCGCGCUGCAUUAGCUAGUUGGUAAGGUAACGGCUUACCAAGGCAACGAUGCAUAGCCGACCUGAGAGGGUGAUCGGCCACACUGGAACUGAGACACGGUCCAGACUCCUACGGGAGGCAGCAGUAGGGAAUCUUCCGCAAUGGGCGAAAGCCUGACGGAGCAACGCCGCGUGAGUGAUGAAGGUCUUCGGAUCGUAAAACUCUGUUAUUAGGGAAGAACAUGUGUGUAAGUAACUGUGCACAUCUUGACGGUACCUAAUCAGAAAGCCACGGCUAACUACGUG
rnacentral:rRNA from 1 species